rnacentral:lncRNA from 1 species
CCGCAUAACACUUUUGACGUUCACGAGCUGCCUUGAUGCGUUCUCGGAUCAGUGCAAUCUUGUCUGUUGAUGUGUGGUAAAAUACACAUAUUUGUCCCGUGUAAAAUGUAUAAUUUUUGUAUAAUUUUUAUUUGUUUUAUUUAGUUUUUAGCAUUAUAAUACAUUGUUUGGUGUUUUGGCAGGUCCUGGUGCAAAUGGAGCGAAAACAAGUCCUGGUGCAAAUGGAGCGAAAACAAGUAAGAAGUAAAUAACCAGCUAGUUGGGCAGAGUAGAAUGCCAGUGACCGAGUAAAAUUGCCGCUAUUUUCCGUGAUUGAGCCAAACCUGUUCUACUGUUAAGGU